UACGUAGGGGGCGAGCGUUGUCCGGAUUUAUUGGGCGUAAAGAGCGUGUAGGCGGUUCGGUAAGUCUGUCGUGAAAUCCUGAGGCUCAACCUCGGGCGUGCGAUGGAUACUGCCGGGCUAGAGGGUGGUAGAGGCGAGUGGAAUUCCCGGUGUAGCGGUGAAAUGCGCAGAUAUCGGGAGGAACACCAGUAGCGAAGGCGGCUCGCUGGGCCACACCUGACGCUGAGACGCGAAAGCUAGGGGAGCGAAUGGG
rnacentral:rRNA from 1 species